rnacentral:rRNA from 1 species
CCUACGGGUGGCAGCAGUGAGGAAUAUUGGUCAAUGGACGCAAGUCUGAACCAGCCAUGCCGCGUGCAGGAAGACGGCUCUAUGGGUUGUAAACUGCUUUUGUACGAGGAUAAACGCAGAUACGCGUAUCUUUCUGCAAGUAUCGUACGAAUAAGGAUCGGCUAACUCCGUGCCAGCAGCCGCGGUAAUACGGAGGAUUCAAGCGUUAUCCGGAUUUAUUGGGUUUAAAGGGUGCGUAGGCGGUCGGUUAAGUUAGAGGUGAAAUCCCGAGGCUCAACGUCGGAAUUGCCUAUGAUACUGGGCGGCUAGAGAGUAGUUGCGGUAGGCGGAAUGCAUGGUGUAGCGGUGAAAUGCUUAGAGAUCACAAAGAACACCGAUUGCGAAGGCAGCUUACCAAGCU